rnacentral:rRNA from 1 species
CCCUUAGAUGUUCUGGGCUGCACGCGCGCUACACUGAUGCAUCCAGCGAGUUGUACCCUUGCUUGGUAAAGUUUGGUAAUCUGAGGCUAAUGUGCAUCGUGAUGGGAAUAGAGUUUUGCAACUAUUAGUCUUGAACGAGGAAUUCCUCGUAAGCACGAGUCAUCAGCUUGUGCUGAUUACGUCCCUGCCCUUUGUACACACCGCCCGUCGCACCUACCGAUUGAAUGGUCCGGUGAAAUCUUCGGAUCUGAGAGAUGUCUGAUUAAUUUCGGACGCCUUUUGGAAAAGUUGCUUAAACCUUACCAUUUAGAGGAAGGUGAAGUCGUAACA